AUUUCUGAAUUAUUCAGUGUUGUCCACGUACUAGUUGUCAUAAACAGACUUUCGAUCUCUUUAUGAUGGCAGUACAGCAGAUCACUUAAGGAUUGCUAAGACAUGAAUUAACGUUUCUAACACUUGACAAAGUUACAACAUCCUACGUUGAAAAUGGACUAGACGAUACUGAUAAUAAUAAUGGUUUUAUGCAAAGUACGAGUAAUGGAUUGCAGUGCAACAGAUCACUCAAGGCUUGCUGAGCAUGAAUUAACAUUUUUAGCGCUUGGAAUAGUUUCAACAUCCU